AGAGAAGCUUGCUUCUCUGCUGACGAGCGGCGGACGGGUGAGUAAGACUUGGGAAUUUGCCUUUAGGCGGGGGACAACCACUGGAAACGGUGGCUAAUACCGCAUAAUGUCUACGGACCAAAGUGGGGGACCUUCGGGCCUCACACCUAAAGAUGAGCCCAAGCGGGAUUAGCUAGUUGGUGGGGUAAAGGCUCACCAAGGCGACGAUCCCUAGCUGUUCUGAGAGGAUGAUCAGCCACACUGGGACUGAGACACGGCCCACACUCCUACGGGAGGCAGCAGUGGGGAAUAUUGCACAAUGGGGGAAACCCUGAUGCAGCCAUGCCGCGUGUGUGAAGAAGGCCUUCGGGUUGUAAAGCACUUUCAGUGGUGAGGAAAGGGUGA
rnacentral:rRNA from 1 species